GCUUGGCCUUCCUGGGUGCUGCUCAGGCAGCCUCCAGCCCGGCUCCAGAUCGAGGACCCAAGCGUUUGCAUCCGGCCCACGGGAGGAUUGGACUCGCUGGAUCCCAGCCGGGGCCCUGGCCUGUCCCGGCUGGAUGCCUGUUGCCGUGCAAGGGCAUGGGAGGCCAGAAUGGAGGGACCCCAGAUGGCUCCUCACAUUUCCCUGCCUGGGAAAGUUCAAGCACCGAGCCUGUGAAAACACACCGAGAGUGAUGAAUGGAUGAGCUGGCAGAGUGUGCUUCUGCCACUCCAGGCAUGUCUGGAAUGGCGCCCACAGUCGCUGACACUGUUUUCAGGCCUCCAGAGAGACUCGGGGAAUUGGCCUUGCUUCUUCACUGCUUUGGAGACUGCAGCCAUCUACUCCCUUUCACUGAGCUCUGAUGGCACUGGUAACCUGUGUGCACAGCUGCACAGAGUACUGUGAGAACUCAUCUAGGAUGGACUUUCACCUGUCUUGUCUUUGGGCAGGAGGUGCUAUUUUCUGUUCAUUCACUACUAAUAGUAUUUGCAUUGGCCCCAUGUAGUGGAUCUUGGCUCCUGCACCAAAGCAGGAAACUUACCAGGCCUCCACAGCAGCAUUCAGUGUUAUGCCUCGUUCUUGCCCUGAUAGCCUCAGUUUAAACCCUCCCCCAUACCUAGUGCAAGUGCUGUGAGUCUCUUCACCCUGCCCCCAGCAUCCCAACUUCUGUCUGCUCAAAUACUUCCUGCUGCUUUGGCAUUUUCUGUGUUCCUUAAUGAGAAAUUGUCUGACCAGGUCCCUUUUCCCUCCACUGCCAUGGGAUGAACUGUGCAUGCCUUCUGUGCCAAGGUGGUGUGUUGUCCUGCCUCACCUGCCAUGUUCCCUGACAUCACCUAAACACCAUGAAAAGCUUGAGACUUCUCUGUGGUCCAUCUGCUCCUCCUUAAUGGAGCAGGGCACUCUUGGAUGACCAGGGCUCCUGGCUAAGUACAGGCUGUUGAAGGGGAAAAAAGAGCAGGCUAGCAGGAUACAUUUGUCCAAGCCUGCCUAGUUACCUAAAAUAGCUAGUUAUUUAGACAUAAAGAGCUGCUACACUUACCUGUCUUUGAGUAGGGGGUUGGCAACAGUUCCACGUUCUUCUGUUGCCCUACUUCAGCACCACUAGCUGGCUAAUGCAUGCUUGAGUGUAGCUCUGGGAAUGCAAGAGGUGGUGGUGACUUCAGCUUCUAUACAGCCCCUCAACUGCUUUCCCUCUGUUCUGGUACCCUCCAAGUUCUGCCCUGCAGCUGGUGGUCCCACCUGUGCUAAGAGCCAGCUUCUGUAGAGUGAGAGUCAAGAUGCCACCUAGUGGGUGACUUGAGGAUGUACUGGCUCCUGAGUAAGGGUCUGGUAACGUUUCCUUGCCACAUCACCCAGAAGAGGGCACCAUCCUGGUUUUCUCCAGGCCAGGAGCAGCGAGUGACUCUGUAGGCCCCACUGGAAGACCUUGCCAUGGAACACAGCAUCCUGGAGCCCAGGUCAGAACUGUAACCAUAGGUGCCUUCAGCCACUUCCUAACCCCUGAUAGCUGGUGGCUGCCUGUGCCUUCUGUGUGGCUCCUCUGACCCUGGCUCUUUCCUACCCAUGUAAGUACAUAGGCUUCUGACUGGAACUGUGCUGGUACCUUGUGCCAUAGAGCAUUGGUGGAUUAAAGCCUCUUUGGUUUGAUCUGGGUGUCUCCAUUC